CUGCUCCACAGACCGUCUGCCUCUCACUGAGCGCGGGUUCGUUUCCGCCCACAUCCCCGCCGGUCCGAAUGGCCGCCCUCACCAAUCAGCUUCAGCCUGCGCAGAUUCCUUUCCUCUGAGCCGCCGGCGCGGAGGAGAGCGGCGUGCAGGCGGACAGCUGUCAUCGCCGCUCAAUCCGGAGCUGAUUUUCCUUCAACAGAUGAAGGAAUUCCCAGAGGAUCCCGUGACGAAUGACAGAGGAGGAAAACCCCCAAAGAUCUCAGCACAAGGGGAUGAGUCAGAAUGAGAGAACAGGUGGAAUAAAUUCCGCUCUGUGACACAAAGGUUGUCUUGGAGUUGUUUAACAAAGCAGAUAAAAACAGUGGAUCCAGAAAAGAAAAAAAAAACACAGUUUGCAGCCGUCCGUUAACAGACACACGUCAGAAGGCGCUAAUUAGAACACAUCGCUCUGGACACAAACACGACUUUCACCCAGAUUUGGAGCCAUCGCACCUCCUACUCAUGCAUCCAAAUACCUGGUGCCAUGACAACUCGCUGGCUGCCUCUCGAGCGGGAUUUACAACUGAAAGUGUCACAAAAAAGGCACUAUCGGUGCUGAACAGUACGUCUCAUGGACAGUUUUCUCUCUGUGAAUCACCAACCGCCUUCUAAGCUCUGACUUUUAGCUACGUUAUUCAGUAAACUCAAAAACACAAAGUUGUACCAUAUACAAAAAUAUAAGAGCAAUCUUUCAAAAGUGACAUUUGUGAUGCCAUUUUUCCUCCACUAUAAAGAUGUCAUCAAAACUAUUUCCUACCUGUUUCUGCUGUCAAGACGACAUGUUUUUCUCUUUGAAAUGCCUCGAAGACACUUUUAUUACACAUCCCGAUGCACACUGCCGUUCUGAUUUAUGUAGCACAGCUGUUUUUUAUAAUAAACACAACAGUAUUCUGUGGUGCGUUAAAUAGAAAUAGAGAUAAGAAUUUGUGUGUGUGAUUAAAUCAACGAUUUGCAGUGUGAGAUAAAAUAACAAUAUAUGGAGACUUUAUUAAAACGAGGGCUGAUGACAUAUAUCAGGGUAAAUACAGCAUCCUGAACCUUUUCUGAUAGCUUGAUUUUGAACUCGAAGUCAAGCAAGUGGUAAAGAUAGUGUGGUCAAGUUGGGUCAGAAAUUAAAAGUAAAACCCAAAUAUUUUAUAAAGAUUGGAUAAUUAAUAAAAAUUGAAUGUACAAACAUUUUUUCAAGUGAAAAAUCCUUCAUAUGCAAUAACUAUUGUCUAUAUUUACCAAACUGGUGAACAUCGGAGCGCACUUUUUUUUGCAAAGACUUCUGGGAAAUUUCCAAGGGACUAAAUUUUGGAAUUGUAGCUGAAAAACUGACGAACACCUUUAUAGUGAGGGAAUUCAGAUGAAGCCCAAGUCUCUUACGUUUGUGAAAUGUGGCUUUUGGAUGGUUAGCUUUAGGGCCGCCAUGACCAAUCGACGACUAAUCGACUAUUAAAAUGGUCAACGACUAAUUUAAUAGUCGAUUAGUCGUUACUUUAUUUUAAACGGAGUCACACUGUAGUAAAGUUAAAAACUUUUGAUGGUAUUCUGU